CUAGGUCAAUUCAAAUUUUGUUCACAAAAUUGAAAGGAAUAUAUGAGUUCCUUAUUCUCAAACAUUCAUCUUUCUCAUUGGUCUUAGACUCUUGCUUUGUUGCUUUUGCUUGUGAAAUUUAGGCCAUGAUUUUUGUCAAAUUUGUUUCUCAUUGCUUUUCCUGUGAUCAGUCCUGAGGCAUGUGCUGCAAUAUUGUGGAAGUCUGCCCAAGCAGCUCCUAAGGCGACUGAAAAACUGAGGAUAACAGCACAAGAACAUUACAGGCUCAGAAUUGUAGAUGGUGUUAUUCCCGUAAGCACUUAGGUCAAUUGUCAUGUUUCCCGUUUUCCUGUAACUCAGUUGCUCAUAAGUCUUUAAAAUGAUUAUUGGAGUUCUUCAACAGUUUGGGUUAGAAAGGCUGUUAAAAGAUUUCAAAUUGGUUUCUUUUUCAUCCUCAGCAACCAUAAUGCAGCUGUGAUAUUCUUAAGCCUUUCUGUCUAGUGUAGAUGUAGUCAUCUCUAAAACUUCAGAAAGGACGUCUGUUAUUUGAUUCUUGGUUGACUACAUGUUCAUUUGUCAUAUUAUAAGUGAGUUCCUAUC